AGAGUGGGGGAUGGUCAUUAAAUUUAGUAGAAUGCCAAUAUUAAAUAUGUGUCCACACAGAGCCAGAAGGGCCAGUUUAAGAGGAAUUAUACUUUGAAUAAAGGCUGCCAGAAUCUCACUGUCACAGUUCAUAAUUUGGAGCACACUGAGUAGUCACCUGUACAAAGACACUACUUACUUUUCCUUCCUGGACGUGGCUGACCUAACACGGCUGGCUGGGCCCUGCCUCUCUAGCCUCACGUGAGAUAGUCUGGAUCUUGUUUCUUCUCUGGUCUUGACUCCCAGAGUCUCAGGCUCGGGUGAAACCUAACCAUGUUUGGGUUGUCACCUUUAGUCUGGUUCACAGAAAUGGCAAGUAUUUGCUUUAUAGUUUGCUACUGUGAUUUAGUGCCCUGACCUAUACUGCCUUGACCCAUUCACUGUCUGAGGUCCCUUUGCCUGUUUCUAGCUGUAUAAACUCCCGCGAUGCAUUCUGGUGCUCACACGGUGCCUUUGGAGCCAGAGGGGAGCAAAGCUGCUCUCUGAGGAUGACGUGCUCUCCUAAGCGGCCCCAUCUCUGUUCAGAGAGCUGUGGUGGGGAGUGAAGCCAUGGACGGUGUGCUAUGCCACGAAGUGAUGAUGUCUGCAGCAGCGAUAACCUCUCUCAUCACCAGCCGCUCUACCUUAUGGAUUUCCAUCUAGAGAAAGAGGACACCGUCCCUCUCGUGUUGUAGCUGAAGGAGAGACACAGCAGCAGUUUUUAGACCCAGACUGUACUGAUAACCAAGUGAAAUAUCUGAAAGUAUUUCCAGCUGAAAAGCCUGUACAAUGUCCAGAUGCGCAUUUGGAGUGCAUCAAAUUAUGUUAAAACCGGCCAAGCGAGGAACUUCCAUGAGAUUUGGAAGGCAAAAUGGAGACAGCAUCCGAUAAACUGUGAUUGAGCACUAGGAGAGACACAAGGUGUGUUGGAAGUCCUAUUUGCUAUUUCCUUCAAAGUGAACAUGAGCCACAACAUCCAGAGUUGAUGCAAAACAUGGGUCAGAAACUUUGACGCUUGGACACGAUGCUGUUCAGAGGGUCUGUUCAAAUUAAAACAGAACUCAGGGCCAUGAACGACACAGAUGAGAAAAUAGAGGCUCAAAUAAGUGAAACAAAUCGCCCAAAGCUUUACAGCUGAGAAGCAGUGGAGGUGGAGUUUGAGCACCCGUCUGCUGAAUUGAGAGACUGGAUGCUUAAGGCAUUACUUAAACUAGAAGAUUGCUGAUACUCCUCUUUAUGGUAGGAGACAUUCUUUCCACUGAUAUCUGGGUUUCGUGGUGCUUCUGUGCUCAUGGGUUCUGAGAUCAGAUUGAGUCCAACAUUUCUAUGUCAAAAAGUAGAUGAAAACCUUCUGUGGCCAUGUUAGAGAAAUAUGUGCUUUUUGUUUUGUUUUACUUGCAUAAAUGAAG